UACAGAGACUGCAAGCGUUAUUCGGAUUCACUGGGCGUAAAGGGUGCGCAGGCGGCCGUGUGUGUCAGGUGUGAAAGCCCGGGGCUUAACCCCGGAAUUGCGCCUGAAACUACAUGGCUAGAGCAUUGGAGAGGGUAGCGGAAUUCACGGUGUAGCAGUGAAAUGCGUAGAUAUCGUGAGGAACACCAGACGCGAAGGCGGCUACCUGGACAAUUGCUGACGCUGAGGCGCGACAGCGUGGGGAGCAAACAGG
rnacentral:rRNA from 1 species